rnacentral:rRNA from 1 species
UUCCGGUUGAUCCUGCCGGAGGUCAUUGCUAUCGGAGUCCGAUUUAGCCAUGCUAGUCGUGCGAGUUCAUACUCGCGGCACCGAGCUCAGUAACACGUGGCCAAACUACCCUACAGAGACGGAUACCCUCGGGAAACUGAGGCUAACCCGUCAUACCGAUCUCAGGCUUGAAUCGCAGAGAUCACCAAACGCCCCGGCGCUGUAGGAUGUGGCUGCGGUUGAUUAGGUUGACGGUGGGGUAACGGCCCACCGUGCCCAUAAUCAGUACAGGUUGUGAGAGCAAGAACCUGGAGACGGAAUCUGAGACAAGAUUCCGGGCCCUACGGGGCGCAGCAGGCGCGAAACCUUUACACUGCACGCACGUGCGAUAA